AUUGAACGCUGGCGGCAUGCCUUACACAUGCAAGUCGAACGGUAACAGGUCUUCGGAUGCUGACGAGUGGCGAACGGGUGAGUAAUACAUCGGAACGUGCCCGAUCGUGGGGGAUAACGCAGCGAAAGCUGUGCUAAUACCGCAUACGAUCUACGGAUGAAAGCGGGGGAUCGCAAGACCUCGCGCGGACGGAGCGGCCGAUGGCAGAUUAGGUAGUUGGUGGGAUAAAAGCUUACCAAGCCGACGAUCUGUAGCUGGUCUGAGAGGACGACCAGCACCACUGGGACUGAGACACGGCCCAGACUCCUACGGGAGGCAGCAGUGGGGAAUUUUGGACAAUGGGCGCAAGCCUGAUCCAGCCAUGCCGCGUGCAGGAUGAAGGCCUUCGGGUUGUAAACUGCUUUUGUACGGAACGAAAAAGCUCUCUCUAAUACAGGGGGUGAAUGACGGUACCGUAAGAAUAAGCACCGGCUAACUACGUGCCAGCCGCCGCCGUAACAC
rnacentral:rRNA from 1 species